rnacentral:rRNA from 1 species
CACGUAGGGCGCGAGCGUUGUCCGGAAUUAUUGGGCGUAAAGAGCUCGUAGGCGGCCUGUUGCGUCCGCUGUGAAAGCCCGGGGCUUAACCCCGGGUCUGCAGUGGAUACGGGCAGGCUAGAGGUAGGUAGGGGAGAAUGGAAUUCCCGGUGUAGCGGUGAAAUGCGCAGAUAUCAGGAGGAACACCUAUAGCGAAGGCAGCUUGCUGGGACGUUACUGACGCUAAGGCGCGAAAGCGUGGGGAGCGAACAGG